rnacentral:rRNA from 1 species
GACGAACGCUGGCGGCGUGCUUAACACAUGCAAGUCGAACGGAAAGGCCCUGCUUUUGUGGGGUGCUCGAGUGGCGAACGGGUGAGUAACACGUGAGUAACCUGCCCUUGACUUUGGGAUAACUUCAGGAAACUGGGGCUAAUACCGGAUAGGAGCUCCUGCUGCAUGGUGGGGGUUGGAAAGUUUCGGCGGUUGGGGAUGGACUCGCGGCUUAUCAGCUUGUUGGUGGGGUAGUGGCUUACCAAGGCUUUGACGGGUAGCCGGCCUGAGAGGGUGACCGGCCACAUUGGGACGGAGAUACGGCCCAGACCCCUACGGGAGGCAGCAGAGGGGAAUAUUGCACAAUGGGCGGAAGCCUGAUGCAGCAACGCCGCGUGCGGGAUGACGGCCUUCUGUUUGUAAACCGCUUUCGCCUGUGACGAAGCGUGAGUGACGGUAAUGGGUAAAGAAGCACCGGCUAACUACGUG